AAUAGCUUCAAAGUUUUCUAAUAUCGGUGCUGCAAAUCAAAUCGUUAAAUAAUUCAUUAGGAAAAUUACGAUAAGCAUCGGUAAUAAAUGAGAUGAAAUGAAAGUGUUCGUUACCGGCGGCCGGAGCAGAAAGAAGAGAGUUGGUAGUUGGAGGUUGCGAAAGAAAAGAAGAUAAUUAUUAUUACAAUAGAUCUGAGGCAGUGAGUGGAAAUGUCAAAGGUAUAGAGAGAUAAGAGAGGAUGAUGGUGUUGCGGUUGCGGCUGAAGCUGCCGGUUCCGCCACAAGUGGUGGCACGUGGACGCGGUGGUGGUGGUGGUUCUGCUUCGCUGUCCUUCAAAAUCUCCAUCUUUUCCCGUUUACUGCUUGUGAUCGAUAUAUCAUUCCUUCAAAUAAAUACUUGUUAGUUGUAAUGUGUGCACCUGCAUGGCUUCUACUUGAUGGUGUUACUCUUUCAUGUUUAUGUUGGAAAUAAUGUUAUAAUAUAUUCACGUCUAUCAUGUGUUCGAUGCAAUGUCUCUGAGGGCCUUAUCAU